CGCGGGGCGAGGGAGGCUCUGUGGCCUGGUGCUUUCCCUCCCUUUGAGUGCCUGGCCGGAAGCGGAGCUUUCCCCACGGAGGUGCAAGGGUGAACCGCACAACCCGUACCUUUAGUGCUUUUCUUGGCGAUGUUGGGAGGGAGCGAAAGAAAGAAAAAUAAAUAAAUAAAGGAAGAAAACACAUAUACACAAAAACAAAAGCAGCAGGCAACCGACCCCGGGCCCACUCAUCCACGCACGCCUGCGAGGCGAGGCGCUCGGAAAAUAAGGGUGUGCUCCGAGUCGCGUCUGGCAGUGCAAGUCAUCACCGGGAUGCAGAGAGCGGCGGGUGCCGAGUCUGCGCACAAGGAGGCUGCUGGCCUGGGCUGGGGUCUCUGGCGACCCGAGCAGCCCACGCCCCCAGAAACUCCCACCUACUGCCGCGAGGCCGGGCUGGGGCGGCAGCUCGGUGCGUUGCCUUCACCCCGCGCCCUCUCAAAGCAAGCGCAGGGCUCAGCCCUCUAGAAAUGGGUUGGUGCCUUUUCAUCCGGGUAACCCAGCCCAGUACAGCUGUGGACCUUCGUCUGCAGUAAAACUAGGCCCCACUCAGACCCUGGAACCCCUCCGAGGACCCCCCCUCCCCAGACCCACCCUAUCUCUCCC
ensembl:lncRNA